rnacentral:rRNA from 1 species
GCUGGCGGCAGGCCUAACACAUGCAAGUCGAGCGGUAGAGAGAAGCUUGCUUCUCUUGAGAGCGGCGGACGGGUGAGUAAUGCCUAGGAAUCUGCCUGGUAGUGGGGGAUAACGUUCGGAAACGGACGCUAAUACCGCAUACGUCCUACGGGAGAAAGCAGGGGACCUUCGGGCCUUGCGCUAUCAGAUGAGCCUAGGUCGGAUUAGCUAGUUGGUGAGGUAAUGGCUCACCAAGGCGACGAUCCGUAACUGGUCUGAGAGGAUGAUCAGUCACACUGGAACUGAGACACGGCCCAGACUCCUACGGGAGGCAGCAGUGGGGAAUAUUGGACAAUGGGCGAAAGCCUGAUCCAGCCAUGCCGCGUAUGUGAAGAAGGUCUUCGGAUUGUAAAGCACUUUAAGUUGGGAGGAGGGGUUGUAGAUUAAUACUCUGCAAUUUUGACGUUACCGACAGAAUAAGCACCGGCUAACUCUGUGCCAGCAGCCGCGGUAAUACAGAGGGUGCAAGCGUUAAUCGGAAUUACUGGGCGUAAAGCGCGCGUAGGUGGUUUGUUAAGUUGGAUGUGAAAUCCCCGGGCUCGACCUGGGAACUGCAUUCAAAACUGACUGACUAGAGUAUGGUAGAGGGUGGUGGAAUUUCCUGUGUAGCGGUGAAAUGCGUAGAUAUAGGAAGGAACACCAGUGGCGAAGGCGACCACCUGGACUAGUACUGACACUGAGGUGCGAAAGCGUGGGGAGCAAACAGGAUUAGAUACCCUGGUAGUCC